UACGUAGGGUCCGAGCGUUGUCCGGAAUUACUGGGCGUAAAGAGCUCGUAGGUGGUUUGUCGCGUUGUCCGUGAAAACUCACAGCUCAACUGUGGGCGUGCGGGCGAUACGGGCAGACUUGAGUACUGCAGGGGAGACUGGAAUUCCUGGUGUAGCGGUGGAAUGCGCAGAUAUCAGGAGGAACACCGGUGGCGAAGGCGGGUCUCUGGGCAGUAACUGACGCUGGAGGAGCGAAAGCCGUGGGGAGCGAACAGG
rnacentral:rRNA from 1 species